GAAAGGAGGACAUGAAAGCCUCGGAGCACAAUAAGGGAUAGCAUUACUCACCUGGGAGUACCUGACUUCCAGGUGCUCACUGCCUGAUUAUUCUUGUCACAGGUGAAGAGUUCAACAGCCCCUGUGGCAAUUUGGGUCUGAGUCUUCUUGCGGCCACCAGUGUUUAUGUGAGAGAUACUCGUUUCCUAAGGCAUCCCAUCUGCUUAAUGGCAUGUAUCUUCAGACCUUACAUGGGUCACUCUGUGCUUCCAAGUUACUAACCACCAAUGGACAACACAUCUCGAGCAUGGAAACUAUUUGAUACCAUCAUGGAGUGAAUACAGUUGGAAGCAAGGAAAGAGUAUUGACGUCAACACUUAUUAUAUUAGUGAAACAAAUAUUGAGGGAAUGUUUGGAGAAUCCCGUGACAGUGAAAGCAUUUUCACUGUUAGGAGGUAGAGAGAAUGGGCUUAAUAAUUCUCCAAGACAUCUCAUCAGCUUGCUGCAGAGAGGUGCUGGAAGUUGGAGAAGCCUAAAGAACAUUCUACAAAUUUCAUAACCAAAAGCUGGCCCCGCGUAGUGGGCAGAAGUAAACAAGACAGGAAGAGAAGGAAAUAAGCAACGAAGGAAAUGUGGUGGGAACAUGCCCUUCUCUGGGAUAUAAAAAGAAACUUGGAAUCAAAUGUUGGGCAAUCUUCUAAAAUCCUAGCAAGAAGAAACCAGGUUGCACCUUCAAUGCUUUGCUUUGGAAAUUCCUCAGGUAAA